rnacentral:lncRNA from 1 species
UUUUAUUUACCACAAGAGAAUUCAUCCAUAACUUGCCCAUAAGGCCACAACUCUCAAUUCAUCCAUACAUCAUCAAUUCAUAAUAGAUAGUUGUAGAAAAUCAUAAGAGUCACCAAUACAACCCAAUCCAAACACAAUUUCAUAAACUUUGAAUCAUAAGCAAAAGACCCACUUCAUUCGCAAAUUUAGGAGUUUAGGAAAACAUGGGUUCUUCA